rnacentral:rRNA from 1 species
AGGGUCCUACGGGGGGCAGCAGUAGGGAAUCUUCCACAAUGGACGAAAGUCUGAUGGAGCAACGCCGCGUGAAGGAAGAAGUAUUUCGGUAUGUAAACUUCUAUCAGCAGGGAAGAAAAUGACGGUACCUGACUAAGAAGCCCCGGCUAACUACGUGCCAGCAGCCGCGGUAAUACGUAGGGGGCAAGCGUUAUCCGGAUUUACUGGGUGUAAAGGGAGCGUAGGCGGCGAUGCAAGUCAGAAGUGAAAGCCCGGGGCUCAACUCCAGGACUGCUUUUGAAACUGUGUUGCUA